UACGUAGGGUGCAAGCGUUGUCCGGAAUUAUUGGGCGUAAAGAGCUUGUAGGCGGUUUGUCGCGUCUGCUGUGAAAUUUCGGGGCUCAACCCCGAACUUGCAGUGGGUACGGGCAGACUAGAGUGUGGUAGGGGAGACUGGAAUUCCUGGUGUAGCGGUGAAAUGCGUACGAUAUCAGGAGGAACACCGAUGGCGAAGGCAGGUCUCUGGGCCAUAACUGACGCUGAGAAGCGAAAGCAUGGGGAGCGAACAGG
rnacentral:rRNA from 1 species